UACGUAGGGCGCAAGCGUUGUCCGGAAUUAUUGGGCGUAAAGAGCUCGUAGGCGGCGUGUCACGUCGGUUGUGAAAGCCCGGGGCUUAACUCCGGGUCUGCAGUCGAUACGGGCAGGCUAGAGUUCGGUAGGGGAGAUCGGAAUUCCUGGUGUAGCGGUGAAAUGCGCAGAUAUCAGGAGGAACACCGGUGGCGAAGGCGGCUUCCUGGCCUGUUCUUGACGCUGAGGCGCGAAAGCUAGGGGAGCAAACGGG
rnacentral:rRNA from 1 species